rnacentral:rRNA from 1 species
UGCAGUCGAGCGGACAGCAUGGGAGACUUGCUCCACUGAUGUUAGCGGCGGACGGGUGAGUAACACGUGGGUAACCUGCCUGUAAGACUGGGAUAACUCCGGGAAACCGGGGCUAAUACCGGAUGGUUGUUUGAACCGCAUGGUUCAGACAUAAAAGGUGGCUUCGGCUACCACUUACAGAUGGACCCGCGGCGCAUUAGCUAGUUGGUGAGGUAACGGCUCACCAAGGCAACGAUGCGUAGCCGACCUGAGAGGGUGAUCGGCCACACUGGGACUGAGACACGGCCCAGACUCCUACGGGAGGCAGCAGUAGGGAAUCUUCCGCAAUGGACGAAAGUCUGACGGAGCAACGCCGCGUGAGUGAUGAAGGUUUUCGGAUCGUAAAGCUCUGUUGUUAGGGAAGAACAAGUGCCGUUCAAAUAGGGCGGCACCUUGACGGUACCUAACCAGAAAGCCACGGCUAACUACGUGCCAGCAGCCGCGGUAAUACGUAGGUGGCAAGCGUUGUCCGGAAUUAUUGGGCGUAAAAGGGCUCGCAGGCGGUUUCUUAAGUCUGAUGUGAAAGCCCCCGGCUCAACCGGGGAGGGUCAUUGUAAACUGGGGAACU